rnacentral:rRNA from 1 species
CCUACGGGAGGCAGCAGUGAGGAAUAUUAGUCAAUGGGCGAGAGCCUGAACCAGCGAAGUAGCGUGAAGGAUGAAUGCCCUCAGGGUUGUAAACUUCUUUUAUAAGGGAAUAAAGUGAGGCACGUGUGCCUUUUUGUCUGUACUUUAAGAAUAAGGAUCGGCUAACUCCGUGCCAGCAGCCGCGGUAAUCCGGAGGGUCCGAGCGUUAUCCGGAUUUAUUGGGUUUAAAGGGAGCGUAGAUGGGUUUUUAAGUCUGUUGUGAAAGUUUGCGGCUCAACCGUAAAAUUGCAAUUGAUACUGGCAGCCUUGAGUACAGUAGAGGUAUGCGGAAUUCGUGGUGUAGCGGUGAAAUGCUUAGAUAUCACGAAGAACUCCGAUUGCGAAGGCAGCCUACUAAACUGCCACUGACAUUGAGGCUCGAAAGUGUGGGUAUCAAACAGGAUUAGAUACCCCUGUAGUC